rnacentral:rRNA from 1 species
CAGCCGCCGCGGGAAUACGUAUGUCACGAGCGUUAUCCGGAUUUAUUGGGCGUAAAGCGCGUCUAGGUGGUUAUAUAAGUCUGAUGUGAAAAUGCAGGGCUCAACUCUGUAUUGCGUUGGAAACUGUAUAACUAGGGUACUGGAGAGGUAAGCGGAACUACAAGUGUAGAGGUGAAAUUCGUAGAUAUUUGUAGGAAUGCCGAUGGGGAAGCCAGCUUACUGGACAGAUACUGACGCUGAAGCGCGAAAGCGUGGGUAGCAAACAGGAUUAGAUACCCCCGUAGUCCCUGUCUCUUAUACA